rnacentral:lncRNA from 1 species
GUCAGUCUGUCUAUCAGUCAGUCAGUGUGUCAGUCAGUCAGUCUGUCUAUCAGUCAGUGUGUCAGUCAGUCAGUAUAUCAGUCAGUGUGUCAGUCAGUCAGUGAGUCAGUCAGUCUAUCAGUCAGUCAGUCUAUCAGUCAGUCAGUGUGUCAGUCAGUCAGUAUAUCAGUCAGUGUGUCAGUCCGGGCCCAUCAGUCAUCAGUGUGUCAGUCAGUCAGUAUAUCAGCCGCGUGUCGUCAUCAGUCCAUCAGUCAGUGUCAGCCUCGUCUAUCAGUCAGUGUGUCAAGCUCGCCCAUCGCCGUCAGUAUCAGUCAGUGUGUCAGUCAGUCCAUCAGUCAACAGUGUGUCAGUCAGUCAGUCUAUCAGUCAGUCUAUCAGUCAGCCGUCAGUCAGUCAGUCUAUCAGUCAGUCAGGCACAGCCGCGUCAGUCAGUCAGCCCAUCAAUGCGUGUCAGCCGGGGCCAGUCUAUCAGUCAGUCAGUCAGUCAGUCAGUGUGUCAGCCGUCUAUCAGUCAGUCUAUCAGUCAGUCAGUCAGUCAGUCAGUCUAUCAGUCAGUCAGUCUAUCAGUCAGUGUGUCAGUCAGUCAGUCUAUCAGUCAGUCAGUCAGUCAGUGUGUCAGUCAGUCUAGUCAGUCUAUCAGUCAGUCAGUCAGUCAGUAUAUCAGUCAGUCUAUCAGUCAGUCAGUCUAUCAGUCAGUCAGUCAGUAUAUCAGUCAGUGUGUCAGUCAGUCAGUCAGUCUAUCAGUCAGUGUGUCAGUCUAUCAGUCAGUCAGUGUGUAAGUCAGUCAGUGUGUCAGUCAGUCAGUAUAUCAGUCAGUCAGUAUAUCAGUCAGUCAGUGUGUCAGUCAGUCAGUAUAUCAGUCAGUCUAUCAGUCAGUCAGUGUGUCAGUCAGUCAGUGUGUCAGUCAGUCUAUCAGUCAGUCAGUGUGUCAAUCAGUCAGUAUAUCAGUCAGUGUGUCAGUCAGUGUGUCAGUCAGUCAGUAUAUCAGUCAGUCAGUGUGUCAGUCAGUCAGUGUGUCAGUCAGUCAGUCAGUGUGUCAGUCAGUCAGUCAGUCUAUCAGUCAGUGUGUCAGUCAGUCAGUCAGUCAGUCUAUCAGUCAGUGUGUCAGUCAGUCU